UACGGAGGAUGCAAGUGUUAUCCGGAAUCACUGGGCGUAAAGCGUCUGUAGGUGGUUUGAUAAGUCCAUUGUUAAAUCUUGAGGCUUAACCUCAAAACAGCAAUAGAAACUAUCAGGCUUGAGUAUAGUAGAGGUAAAAAGAAUUUCCAGUGGAGCGGUGAAAUGCGUAGAUAUUGGAAGGAACACCGAUGGCGAAGGCAUUUUACUGGGCUAUUACUGACACUCAGAGACGAAAGCUAGGGUAGCAAAUGGG
rnacentral:rRNA from 1 species